rnacentral:lncRNA from 1 species
UCUCUUCUCUUCUCUUCACGUUCUCAGAAAUCCCUAAAUUGAAAAUCCCAAAUUUCACAUUCCUCAGGGCUCAGUGACUCAGUCUUUUCACCAGCCCUUGCUCGCCCCUCAUCUGCAUUAUUUUUCCAUCAUCGACGGCGACACGGCGUUCUUUUCACCAGCCACUGUGAGAAUCACAGUCCACAGUCCACACAAGGUAAGUAACACUGUUUAUCUUGUUUCACCGCCUCCUGCACACAACACACAACAACACUGUUUAUCUUGUUUCUCCAGUCUUCAAGUGGGUUUUUUUUUGUCCCUGUCCGUUUCUUAGUCUGAUGUUAAUGUUAGUUUGAUUGAAUUCACAGGCUCCAACUUUGACUGUGCUCAGUGCUCAUUGGCCAUUGCUCACUGCUCAGAACAGACUCGACAGAGGUAAGCUUCCGUUUCUCUGCUCACUGCAAUAAUUUCUUACCAUUUCGUUUCUUUACAGUUUAAUGUGAAUUUUAGUGUGCUACUGUGACAAUGUUAAUAUUCUAGUGUGCUACUGUGACUGUCAUAGAAAAAAACGGAAUGGAAGUUACUUUAUUACAUUAGAGCGGAAACACAUUGCAGAGUACUCCCCAAGCUCAAUCCCAUGGUACCAUUAUUUGGAAUGAAAAUCUGGAAGUGUUUGUAUGUUUUAACUUGUCAAAACAAAAGUAUAAUUCUAAAUCUGGAAAUGCUACUGAUAUAUCCUACAUUCAAAUUAAGGUGCUUGUUGCCGAUGUUAAGGCUCAAGGCUAUUGCUUUCCAUGUUGGAUUUGGCCGGCCAGUUGGUUCAUCUUGGCCCUUCAGAUUCUUAUUGAAGUAAAUCUACGGCAGCAUGCUUUGCCAAGUUUUUAUUUUGCUGGGGGAGCGGGCUUGGCCUUGCGAAUUAACCAUAAACUGCUACACGGUUAUUUGAUUCUGAGAUGUUCAUAAAGUUCAUGGUUGAUUCCUAGCAUACUACAGAACAAAGUUCUGAGCUAUCCAGAUCAUGAGUGUUGGUUUUCUUCGCACUGCAGAUCUUCUUUACAUCAGUUACAUCUCAUUUCCAC